rnacentral:misc_RNA from 1 species
AUCGGAAGGAGAGACCGGCGUCGUCGUCGUCGGAGAGUUGCGCUAAUGAGUUGACCCGGUUGAAUUCUGGUGAGUUGUCUUCAAGUGUUGCGGAUUUCAAAGAUACUUUGCUGCAGAGUGAAAAUGUUACCAAGGAAAAGUACACAGGAUGGACAAAUACAAAGCACAAUGCAUUUCUGGACUGUCUUGAAUCUUCAUUUGUUAAGCAGUUACACAGAUCCAUGGCAUUGCGUGCUGGAUCUGUGGAAAUGAACCUGAGCUGCAGAAAUUUGUCAGAAGAGUUAUCUUUAUCUGCACAUGUCAACAAAGCUUCAAUGCAGUUACCUUUUCUGCGUCAUGGCUCUUGGAAGAAGAUCAAGACUGUGAGGCAGCCACCUGUUGUGUAUAUCGCAGCUGAUUCUCAUGAUUGCUUGAAAUAUCUACGCGGUGAUGGGCAUCAUCAGGUUAUGGAUAGCCAAUUUUGUAGUGAACUACUUUGCAAGGGGAAACAAACAAGCGAUGAGAGGUCUUCUUCAUCUUGUGUAUACAAAACAAUAUCAAAUUUAAUCCCUUCCAAACCGGGAGAACUGCAGAAAACAGUUUGUAGCGUUACUGAAGGUUCAGGUCAGAAUUUCUUGGAUGAAGAUUUAGAUGAAAACUCGAGAUGCAAAAAGAUGAAGACAGCUUCGGUGGACACUACAGAGCAAGAGCAAGUCGUUCCAACUAGGAAUACGAGAGUUCAGGAGUUGCUAGUACCAUGUUCCAGAGAAAUAACCAAGUAAAUCUUGGAAAUUCUUCACCAAACAAUGACGGGAGCUAGUUCUAUGUUCCAGAGUAGUGACAAAGUAAAGCUCAAAACCUAUCAGAAGACUAUGGCCAAUGUAAGACUUUUGAAAGGUAGCUGAGGGGUGGUGAAAUACUGGAGAAGUGGACUCUCAACGCAAGGAGUUGGUAAUUAUUUUGUUGCUUUUCUAAAGGAGGAUGACAAAUUUGAGAAGGUGUACGGGAUGAAAUCAGAUUUAUUGCAGGUAGUAGAGUGUUGGGCGUAGCAUUUUUGGGUUAAAGAAGUAGAGUAGGAACAUUCUAGCGUGCAUUUGCAUAGUGUCGAUAUAGCAAUAAUGCUGUAAAUGACAUGUAGAUAAGUAUCCAUACAAGCGUAAGUGUUUUACACGAGAAAGAAA